GAUGAACGCUAGCUACAGGCUUAACACAUGCAAGUCGAGGGACCGGCGCACGGGGGAGUAACACGUAUCCAACCUGCCCUUUACUCGGGGGUAGCCUUGCGCAAGAAAGGCUAAUACCCGAUAUAAAGGAUGGGGAUGCGUUCCAGUAGGGUGAUGGUGAGGUAACGGCACACCAAGCCUUCGGUUGAUAGGGGUUCGGAGAGGAAGGCACCCCACAUUGGAACUGAGCCACGGUCCACACUCCUACGGGAGGCAGCAGUGAGGAAUAUUGGUCAAUGGGUGCUAUCCUGACCCAGCCAAGUAGGGUGAAGGAUGCAGGGUUAUGGGUCGUCAACUUCUUUUAUAUAAGAAUAUGUAUUAUAUGAAUAAGGAUCGGCUAACUCCGUGCCAGCAGCCGCGGUAAUUC
rnacentral:rRNA from 1 species